GAUGAACGCUAGCGAUAGGCUUAACACAUGCGAGUCGAGGGGCAGCAUGGUCUUAGCUUGCUAAGACUGAUGGCGACCGGCGCACGGGUGCGUAACGCGUAUGCAACUUGCCUCACAGAGGGGGAUAACCCGUCGAAAGACGGACUAAUACCGCGUACACUUGGGAUAGGGCAUCCUGACCCAAGGAAAUGAAAUUCGCUGUGAGAUAGGCAUGCGUCCCAUUAGCUAGUUGGUGAGGUAACGGCUCACCAAGGCGACGAUGGGUAGGGGAACUGAGAGGUUGAACCCCCACACUGGUACUGAGACACGGACCAGACUCCUACGGGAGGCAGCAGUGAGGAAUAUUGGUCAAUGGGCGAGAGCCUGAACCAGCCAAGUCGCGUGAAGGAUGACUGUCUUAUGGAUUGUAAACUUCUUUUAUACGGGAAUAACAAGAGCCACGUGUGGCUCCCUGCAUGUACCGUAUGAAUAAGCAUCGGCUAACUCCGUG
rnacentral:rRNA from 1 species